GAUGAACGCUGGCGGCGUGCCUAAUACAUGCAAGUCGAGCGAACAGAUAAGGAGCUUGCUCCUUUGACGUUAGCGGCGGACGGGUGAGUAACACGUGGGUAACCUACCUAUAAGACUGGGAUAACUUCGGGAAACCGGAGCUAAUACCGGAUAAUAUUUCGAACCGCAUGGUUCGAUAGUGAAAGAUGGUUUUGCUAUCACUUAUAGAUGGACCCGCGCCGUAUUAGCUAGUUGGUAAGGUAACGGCUUACCAAGGCGACGAUACGUAGCCGACCUGAGAGGGUGAUCGGCCACACUGGAACUGAGACACGGUCCGGACUCCUACGGGAGGCAGCAGUAGGGAAUCUUCCGCAAUGGGCGAAAGCCUGACGGAGCAACGCCGCGUGAGUGAUGAAGGUCUUCGGAUCGUAAAACUCUGUUAUUAGGGAAGAACAUACGUGUAAGUAACUGUGCACGUCUUGACGGUACCUAAUCAGAAAGCCACGGCUAACUACGUG
rnacentral:rRNA from 1 species